rnacentral:rRNA from 1 species
UACAGAGGGUGCGAACGUUGCUCGGAAUUACUGGGCGUAAAGCGCAUGUAGGCGGAUCGAUAAGUCGGGCGUGAAAUCCCCAGGCUCAACCUGGGAACUGCGCUCGAAACUGUAGGUCUUGAGUGUCGGAGAGGAUGGCGGAAUUCCUGGUGUAGAGGUGAAAUUCGUAGAUAUCAGGAGGAACACCGGUGGCGAAGGCGGCCAUCUGGACGACAACUGACGCUGAGAUGCGAAAGCGUGGGGAGCAAACAGG